rnacentral:tRNA from 1 species
AGAAUCUUAAGUUAACUAAACUAAUAGCCUUCAAAGCUAUAAAUAAGGCAAAUCCCUUAGAUUCUG